rnacentral:rRNA from 1 species
UACGUAGGGUGCGAGCGUUGUCCGGAAUUAUUGGGCGUAAAGAGCUCGUAGGCGGUCUGUCGCGUCUGCUGUGAAAACUCGGGGCUUAACCCCGGGCCUGCAGUGGGUACGGGCAGACUAGAGUGCGGUAGGGGAGACUGGAAUUCCUGGUGUAGCGGUGAAAUGCGCAGAUAUCAGGAGGAACACCGGUGGCGAAGGCGGGUCUCUGGGCCGUAACUGACGCUGAGGAGCGAAAGGCGUGGGGAGCGAACAGG